rnacentral:lncRNA from 1 species
CUAGCCAUGGAGAAAGUGGAGGAUAGUAUGGUACUACUUAUGAGACACAGCUGGAGGGAGGUUUUCGAUACACCGGUGAGUCUCAGUUCACAUGCUAUACAAGAUACGGAUCACGGUAGGCCAUCUGAUAUAGGCCAGUCAGAUACCAUUGCAUAUCGAAGAAGAGCUCCUCGAGGUCGUUCAAGAGGCCAGGAUGCAGCUGUAGAUGACCUCCCAUGUAGAGUCAGAUCCAUUGAUGUAUCAAGUUCCGAGUCUUCCUAUUAUCCGCGGCCUCAGCCAGCCUAUGGAUAUGGUGCA